rnacentral:tRNA from 1 species
AAAACUUUAAGUUAAACAAACUACCUGCCUUCAAAGCAGGCAAUAAAUUUCCUUUAUUUAAGUUUUG